rnacentral:tRNA from 1 species
GAUUUUAUAGCUUAUUUAAAGUAUCACCUUGAAGAGGUGAAGAAACUAUGUUGAAAUCA